rnacentral:rRNA from 1 species
GGAGUCACGCCAGAAUCUUACCCGGAGAGACAGCAGAAUGAAGGUCAAGCUGAAGACUUUACCAGACAAGCUGAGAGGUGGUGCAUGGCCGUCGCCAGCUCGUGCCGUGAGAUGUCCUGUUAAGUCAGGUAACGAGCGAGAUCCUCGCCACUAGUUGCUAUCAUUAUUCUCAGGAAUAGUGGGGCGAAUUAGUGGGACUGCCGUUGUUAAAACGGAGGAAGGAGGGGGCUACGGCAGGUCAGUAUGCCCCGAAACUCUGGGGCCACACGCGGGCUGCAAUGGUAGCGACAAUGAGCUCCAAACUCGAAAGAGAGUGGCAAUCUCUAAACGCUACCACAGUUAUGACUGAGGGCUGCAACUCGCCCUCACGAAUAUGGAAUCCCUAGUAACCGCGUGUCAUUACCGCGCGGUGAAUACGUCCCUGCUCCUUGCACACACCGCCCGUCGCUUCAUCGAAGUUUGCUUUUAGCGAGGUGAUGUUUAAUUGACAUUAUCGAACUUGAGGUAAGUGACGAGGGAAAAGUCGUAACAAGGUGACCGUAGGGGAACCUGCGGUCGGAUCA